UACAGAGGGGGGCAAGCGUUGUUCGGAAUUACUGGGCGUAAAGGGCGCGUAGGCGGCCUGUUAAGUCGGACGUGAAAUCCCCGGGCUCAACCCGGGAACUGCGUCCGAUACUGGCAGGCUUGAAUCCGGGAGAGGGAUGUGGAAUUCCAGGUGUAGCGGUGAAAUGCGUAGAUAUCUGGAGGAACACCGGUGGCGAAGGCGGCAUCCUGGACCGGCAUUGACGCUGAGGCGCGAAAGCCAGGGGAGCAAAGCGGG
rnacentral:rRNA from 1 species